GAUGAACGCUGGCGGCGUGCCUAAUACAUGCAAGUCGAGCGAACGGACGAGAAGCUUGCUUUUCUGAUGUUGGCGGCGGACGGGUGAGUAACACGUGGAUAACCUACCUAUAAGACUGGGAUAACUUCGGGAAACCGGAGCUAAUACCGGAUAAUAUUUUGAACCGCAUGGUUCAAAAGUGAAAGACGGUCUUGCUGUCACUUAUAGAUGGAUCCGCGCUGCAUUAGCUAGUUGGUAAGGUAACGGCUUACCAAGGCAACGAUGCAUAGCCGACCUGAGAGGGUGAUCGGCCACACUGGAACUGAGACACGGUCCAGACUCCUACGGGAGGCAGCAGUAGGGAAUCUUCCGCAAAGGGCGAAAGCCUGACGGAGCAACGCCGCGUGAGUGAUGAAGGUCUUCGGAUCGUAAAACUCUGUUAUUAGGGAAGAACAUAUGUGUAAGUAACUGUGCACAUCUUGACGGUACCUAAUCAGAAAGCCACGGCUAACUACGUG
rnacentral:rRNA from 1 species